UAGCCAUUUGUUCUUGAGUAGC
rnacentral:siRNA from 1 species